rnacentral:rRNA from 1 species
GACGAACGCUGGCGGCGUGCUUAACACAUGCAAGUCGAACGGAAAGGCCCUGCUUUCAGGGUACUCGAGUGGCGAACGGGUGAGUAACACGUGGGUGAUCUGCCCUGCACUUCGGGAUAAGCCUGGGAAACUGGGUCGAAUACCGGAUAGGAGCCAUUUUGAGUGUGAUGGUUGGAAAGUUUUUUCGGUGUGGGGUGAGCUCGCGGCCUAUCUGCUUGCUGGUUGGGGAAUGGCCUACCAAGGCGGCGACGGGUAGCCGGCCUGAGGGGGUGGACGGCCACCUUGGGGCUGAGAUAAGGCCCAGACUCCUAAGGGAGGCAGCAGGGGGGAAUAUUGCACCAUGGGCGCAAGCCUGAUGCAGCGACGCCGCGUGGGGGAUGACGGGCUUCGGGUUGUAAACUCCUUUCGCUAGGGACGAAGCUUUUUGUGACGGUACCUAGAUAAGAAGCACCGGCUAACUACGUG